rnacentral:rRNA from 1 species
CAGUCGCCACGGUAAUACGAAGGGUGCAAGCGUUACUCGGAAUUACUGGGCGUAAAGCGUGCGUAGGUGGUGGUUUAAGUCCGUUGUGAAAGCCCUGGGCUCAACCUGGGAAUUGCAGUGGAUACUGGAUCACUAGAGUGUGGUAGAGGAUAGUGGAAUUUCCGGUGUGGCAGUGAAAUGCGUAGAGAUCGGAAGGAACAUCUGUGGCGAAGGCGACUAUCUGGGCCAACACUGACACUGAGGCACGAAAGCGUGGGGAGCAAACAGGAUUAGAUACCCCCGUAGUCCCUGUCUCUUAUAC